NAACUAACAAGGAUUCCCCUAGUAACUGCGAGUGAAGCGGGAAAAGCUCAAAUUUAAAAUCUGGCGGUCUCCGAUCGUCCGAGUUGUAGUCUGGAGAAGCGUCUCCCGCGCUGGACCGUGUACAAGUCUCUUGGAACAGAGCGUCGUAGAGGGUGAGAAUCCCGUCUUUGACACGGACUACCAGUGCUUUGUGAUGCGCUCUCAAAGAGUCGAGUUGUUUGGGAAUGCAGCUCAAAAUGGGUGGUAAAUUCCAUCUAAAGCUAAAUAUUGGCGAGAGACCGAUAGCGAACAAGUACCGUGAGGGAAAGAUGAAAAGCACUUUGGAAAGAGAGUUAAACAGUACGUGAAAUUGCUGAAAGGGAAACGAUUGAAGUCAGUCGCGUCGUCUAGAACUCAACCUUGCCUCGGCUCGGUGCAUUUUCUAGUUGACGGGCCAGCAUCAGUUUUGACCGUUGGAAAAAGGUCCUUGGAAUGUGGCACCUUCGGGUGUGUUAUAGCCUCGGGUCGUAUACGACGGUUGGGACUGAGGACCGCAGCACGCCUUUAUGGCCGGGGUUCGCCCACGUACGUGCUUAGGAUGCUGGCGUAAUGGCUUUAAACGACCCGUCUUGAAACACGGACCAAGGAGUCUAACAUGCCUGCGAGUGUUUGGGUGGUAAACCCGAGCGCGUAACGAAAGUGAAAGUUGGGAUCCCUGUUGUGGGGAGCACCGACGCCCACACCAGACCUUCUGUGACGGAUGUGCGGUUGAGCAUGUAUGUUGGGACCCGAAAGAUGGUGAACUAUGCCUGAAUAGGGUGAAGCCAGAGGAAACUCUGGUGGAGGCUCGUAGCGAUUCUGACGUGCAAAUCGAUCGUCAAAUUUGGGUAUAGGGGCGAAAGACUAAUCGAACCAUNNNNNNNNNNNNNNNNNNN
rnacentral:rRNA from 1 species